GGUGAUGGACAUUGCCAAGCUGAUGAAGGCGUACAUCAGUAUGAUUGUAAAGAAACGCUACAGCAACUCUCAAUCGGUCAGCAGCCACGGCAGCCAAUGCAGCGCCUGGUAAAAAGCUGUCAGUGACCUUUGGCCUUUCACCUCUCCGCAGACACCAGGGGAAUUGGACCCCAAGCCACACAAGCUAGUCGGGCCAGGCUGACUUUCUCAUGCCUCUGGUGGCCAGCAAGCUUUGUCUUUCUUAUGCUGAGAUGCUGUUAUGCUUACAGUACAAGGGCUCUUGUUACAGGACCAGACUAUCCAUUAAGGGUUACUGUGGCGGUUCCUAUGGUCCAAUUCGUUUGAAGAGUCGGGGCAUAGACAAUGAGAAUGUAAAAGGACUUCAGUAGAAGUUAUCCCUGAUCACAGAUUCCGGAUCAGAUCACGGAAGCCUUUAGUCCCUAACUUUAAACAGUUGGGGAAACUUCUACUGACUGUUCAGUGUCAUGUUUAUUAACUUCUGGUGGAUCUCAGUUGGACAGCCACUCCUUUCGAUUCUUAAUCAUCACUGGUAUUAUUGAGAAAUGUAAAUAUUCAACUCAGUACUCAAACUAUUUUCAAGUAACGGUUCUGAAACAUGGUUAUUGAUGGAAAGGGAAACAUGUCAGUGGUGUUAAGUGUGAGGGGGGAAAAAAACAUUGCCUGAAAUAAACCUUUAAUUGACAGCUUGGUCCAAAAUAAUCACGUCUACUUUAAUAUUACCGGAUGAAAAACACAUAGCAGUACAAACUCAAAGAUCUCCACCUUGGGCCAUGCUUGUCUGAAUACUAUAGCUUCUGGAAGAUACUUAAAUACACCCUCUACCAGCAACAUAAUGUUCUCGUCAGGUUGCUUGGAUAUUAAAAUGUCACCGCACAACAUUUCACUAGAACUCCGCGGGCGGAGGCUCCAUCCAAAGAUAUGCAGAAUCCUUGCUCAGUGCCUUGUAUAUUAUGUACACGUGUUUCCUUUUCCAUACAUGUCGUUUCUUAUAUGAUCAUGUGCAAUGUUAUAUAAAUAUAUAUUAUAAUCAUACAGUUGUAUAUUUGAUAAAUCUUUGCCUUUUUUUUGGACAGAAUUAUGACCACAACAGAAAGCAAUAUUCACAAGAGAUACCUUGUUAUCUUUCUCCCCGUGUCGAUUUCAAUGGCUUACCGUUCAAGUAUAACAGCUGUAUACAAUAUCGGUCUCGAUGUAUCCUGUUUUUUCAUAUGUAUUAGCUGUGUUAUGUAUCAAAAAGGAUGUUUCUAUCAAUAAAUGUCUGCUUAUUUACACAGGUGUUUCUGGGUUUUUCGUUAUUUGAUAUUUUGUUUUUUCUGUAUUUUAUUCAGAAUCG
ensembl:lncRNA